UACGUAGGGGGCAAGCGUUGUCCGGAAUUAUUGGGCGUAAAGAGCGCGUAGGCGGUCCGAUAAGUCGGCUGUGAAAGUCAGGGGCUCAACCCUUGGAAGCCGGCCGAUACUGUCGGACUAGAGUCCGGAAGAGGCGAGUGGAAUUCCCGGUGUAGCGGUGAAAUGCGCAGAUAUCGGGAGGAACACCAAUGGCGAAGGCAGCUCGCUGGGACGGUACUGACGCUGAGACGCGAAAGCGUGGGGAGCGAACAGG
rnacentral:rRNA from 1 species